UCCCAAACCAUUGUGAACAUACCUUCAACGUUGCUUCGGCGGGUUGGCCCCGGUCUCCGGGGUNNNNCGGCCCUACUCGGGCGCCCGCCGGAGGUAUCUAACUCUUGAACUUUUAUGGCCUCUCUGAGUCUUUGUACUUAAUAAGUCAAAACUUUCAACAACGGAUCUCUUGGUUCUGGCAUCGAUGAAGAACGCAGCGAAAUGCGAUAAGUAAUGUGAAUUGCAGAAUUCAGUGAAUCAUCGAAUCUUUGAACGCACAUUGCGCCCGCCAGUAUUCUGGCGGGCAUGCCUGUUCGAGCGUCAUUUCAACCAUCAAGCCCCCGGCUUGUGUUGGGGACCUGCGGCUGCCGCAGGCCCUGAAAACCAGUGGCGGGCUCGCUAGUCACUCCGAGCGUAGUAAUACAUCUCGCUCAGGGCGUGCUGCGGGUUCCGGCCGUUAAAAAGCCUUAUUUACCCAAGGUUGACCUCGGA
rnacentral:rRNA from 1 species